AGGGAAGUCUCCAUGAGGUCUCUGCUCACUGUCAUCAUUUGCUAGUGUAGAAAGCAACCGAAAAAUGAAAUUAAGUGUGAAAUGUCACAUUUCUCAUUUGAAUGAGGUGCAAAAUAGAGCCAUGACUCACUCUUGAGACUCCUCUUGUUCUUUCCAUGAUGACCCAGUUGACAUCACGGUUGAUUGCGAGUGAGCUAUAGGAAAAACAUGCAACAAACUUUAUUGUCUAAAGUAGAUGAAGACGACAAAUAUUCAAUCCCAUACCUAAGACAACCAUUCCAUGGCUGUCACACUGCAUUUCAACUUCUGACUCAUACUCUUGAGAGUCUUCUUGUUCGUUCCCAUAUGACCCAAUUGACAUCGCAGCUGAUGGGGAGUGAGCUAUAGGAAAAAUAGCAACAAACUUUAUUGUCUGAAGUAGAUGAAGACGACAAAUGUGCAUAAUUAUUCAAUCCCAUACCUAAGACAACCCUUCCAUAGCUGUCAAACUGCAAUGAAACAUCUGGAGGAACAAUCUUGCUGUACUGAUUUUUGAUUUUUUGGUUCCUUGCCAUGUUGUAAUGGUGGAGAAUGUUUCUUUGUAGAAAAAUGUGUGUUGAUGGGGUUGUCUGAUUUAAAAAGUAGUUUUCAGGCACAAGCUCCAGCUUUCUUAGAACCUCACACUGGUCUUUGCUGUUCCCCUGGUGGAACACAUCGUUCAAAGCAAAAUGCUGUGAGGAUCCAGUGAGAGGGUGACCAUCUUUGUCAGCUGGCUUUUUUUUUAAAUUUCAGCCAAGGCAAGUUGACAUGGACCUUUCCCUCUGAGGCCUGCUUCACGUUCUCUGGGGUGGGAUCCAGUAACCUUCCCUGAAAAGGGGUAAAUAUUCCUGGCUGCCUGCGGUUGGCAUGCAGUGCCAGACCCCUGGCAUAAUCAUACACAGCCACAUUGGGGAGGUGUUUCCAGGACAGCAAGAGAUCCACAAAGUCACGUGGACUCUCUGCUCUAAGGUUGAAUUUUACUGAAAACACAACCCCACAUGGGCAAGUGAUAACUGCCCAGCCACCUGUGAAACAGAAAAAAAAAGUAAUAACUGACAUUAGGAGCAUGUAUAGCUAACCUACUACAUAAUGAUCAUUUCUUUAACACAACAAUGCAUAACAAAGUGAAAUUAUCUUCAACAUUCCAUAUCAUUUCACUUACCAGAAGCACCCCACACUUUCUCAAAGACCUUGUUGUAGGUGACUCUAUUAGACAUUUUGUCAGACAGUCUCAUAACCAUGUCUAUCUUGGACCCCUUAUCAUCCACACCACACUGUUUGCACAGUGCCCUGACCUCCUGUACCUGUUGGUGAAAAUGCAAUGAAGUUGAUAUUGUUAAUAUAGCAUAAACAUAUUUUUUGUUAGCAUAAAGAAGUGGAUUUGGCAUAUUUCAUCAACUCAUUCACCUUCAAGUUCACAAGCUCAUCUGUGAGCCGCUCCUCAUUCAUUUUUUCGGCAUCAUUAAAGUUAUCAUCUCCAUC